UACGGAGGGUGCGAGCGUUGUCCGGAAUCACUGGGCGUAAAGGGCGCGUAGGCGGCUCAUGAAGGCUGUGGUGAAAGUCCGGGGCUCAACCUCGGAUCGGCCGUGGCGACUCGUGGGCUGGAGCACUGUAGAGGCGGGUGGAAUUCCGGGUGUAGCGGUGGAAUGCGUAGAGAUCCGGAAGAACACCAGUGGCGAAGGCGGCCCGCUGGGCAGUGGCUGACGCUGAGGCGCGAAAGCGUGGGGAGCAAACAGG
rnacentral:rRNA from 1 species